GAUGUACUUGGAGGCCUGACCUAGUCCUGGGGUCAUGAAACGGUUCGUCUAGGAAGCCAUGUUUGGCAUGAGCCGCUGAAGGAGGCGUAGGAAUUGUCUAGGCAACAGCAGGGACUGGAAAGAUACCAGGUACAGGGAACAGCAUGUAUGAACGUCUGAGACAGAGACCAGAAGGUGAGCCGAUGGGGUUGGAGCAAAUCCACUGGAAAAAGGCGCAGGAUGAGGACACAAGGAUGUCAGAGAAGUUGCUCAUGAAGGUUGCCAGGGAGGAGGACAAGAGAUGCCUGGGGUUUGGGGAACAGUAGAGACAUCUCGGCUAAGCCUUCAUCUCCAGAGGCCCCUGGGCACGCGGCUCCCAGGAAUGUGUGUGGAAGAAAGAAUCACCCUCAGAAUUAGAAAAAGAAUCUGAAUCUGGUUCUCUGCUCUGCCACUUACUGGCUGUGUGACAUGACUAAGGCAGCUCUCAGACCCAAGAGUCCUCAUCUACAAAGUGGCUGUGAUGUUUGAAUGAGACAGCCUAUGGCCAAGGAUUUGUACAUGAGUAUGUGAAAUCUGUGCCCAACGGAGACAAGCGUUUCUCUACUUCUCCCCCUUUCCAUAGGCUUUUGGUUUUUCCCUCUGGUUUAAGGAUAUUAAAUCACUAGCACCUUU